rnacentral:rRNA from 1 species
UACGAAGGGGGCUAGCGUUGCUCGGAAUCACUGGGCGUAAAGCGCACGUAGGCGGCUUCUUAAGUCAGGGGUGAAAUCCUGGAGCUCAACUCCAGAACUGCCUUUGAUACUGAGGAGCUUGAGUCCGGGAGAGGUGAGUGGAACUGCGAGUGUAGAGGUGAAAUUCGUAGAUAUCGUAAGGAAGACCAGUGGCGAAGGCGGGUCUCUGGACAGUUCCUGACGCUGAGGCACGAAGGUCAGGGGAGCAAACGGG